AUUGAACGCUGGCGGCAGGCUUAACACAUGCAAGUCGAGCGCGCGGCGGACGGGUGAGUAAUGUCUGGGCAACUGGCUGAUGGAGGGGGAUAACUACUGGAAACGGUAGCUAAUACCGCAUCACCUCCGAUGUGCCCAGAUGGGAUUAGCUAGUAGGUGGGGUAAUGGCUCACCUAGGCGACGAUCCCUAGCUGGGCUGAGAGGAGGACCAGCCACACUGGAACGGAGACACGGUCCAGACGCCGACGGGAGGUAGCAGUGGGGAAUAUUGCACAAUGGGCGCAAGCCUGAUGCAGCCAUGCCGCGUGUGUGAAGAAGGCCUUCGGGUUGUAAAGCACUUGCAGCGAGGAGGCGUUACUCGCAGAAGAAGCACCGGCUAACUCCGUGCCAGCAGCCGCGGUAAUUC
rnacentral:rRNA from 1 species